GUUGUUUCAAUGAGUAGCAGUGGUUUAAGCUUAACCUUUCAAGUUUUGUUAAGCGAAAUAUACUUGAAGGCAAAUUCACUAUAGCAGUCUCAUCUAAUAGAAGUUCUUGUAAAGACUUCAUCUUGCCUAUAUCUUCAGGUAUCUGUUUCAACUUCGUGCAACCCGAGAGUAUCAGCUUUUUAAGAUUUUUCAGCCCAGAGACCUCACCUGGAAAUUCAACAAGGUUGCGGCAAUCUCUUAGAUUUAAAUGACGUAAAGUUGUCAAAUUCCCAACUGUUUUGUGAAUCCUUUGCAAGUUGCUG
rnacentral:misc_RNA from 1 species